UACGGGGGGUGCGAGCGUUGUCCGGAAUCACUGGGCGUAAAGGGCGCGUAGGUGGUUUGAUAAGGGUGUGGUGAAAGUCCGGAGCUCAACUCCGGAUCUGCCGUGCCGACUGUCAAACUCGAGGGCUGUAGAGGCAGACGGAAUUCCGGGUGUAGCGGUGGAAUGCGUAGAGAUGCGGCGGAACACCGAUGGCGAAGGCAGCCCCCUGGGCUGAGAUUGACGCUCAGGCACGAAAGCGUGGGGAGCAAACAGG
rnacentral:rRNA from 1 species